GGAGAAUCUUCUUUAAGAGAUUUCGACGAUGGAGAAAUCAUUGAGAAAUCCAUCUCUCAAGACGCUGUACUCCGUCCUGAAGAACUUCAGGGAGGAAUAUACAGACUUUGA